rnacentral:rRNA from 1 species
UGAGCAAUCUGCCCUUCUCAUCGGAAUAAGCGUUGGAAACGACGUCUAAUGCCGAAUACGACCUCCUUUCGCAUGAUCGGAGGUGGAAAGCUCCGGCGGAGAAGGAUGAGCUCGCGGCCUAUCAGCUAGUUGGUGUGGGUAAUGGCCCACAAGGCGACGACGGGUAGCCGGCCUGAGAGGGUGACCGGCCGCACUGGGACUGAGACACGGCCCAGCUCCGUAGGAG